AAAAAUAUCCUUACCUGGAAUUUGGCUUUAAAAGUUGGUGGUAUUGCAUCCACUUAAUGAUUGCGAGUGUAAGGUAUGCUCGCCAUUUGGUGGUAUGCGAUGUACCCAAUGGUUAGGGGUUAUAUAACAUGCUUGCUGAUUGAUGGUACUUGAUGCAAUCCUUGAUUCCAUUGGAUCUGUAGAUAUAUAAAUGUUUUCCUCCAUUUCGAUAAGGUUAAAUGUGAUGUCUAUGAAGUGGCCUCUUAUUUUGACAUUGUAUUCUGUAUUGCCUGUCACACUCCUUGUGGGAAUCUGCUCUUUGCAUUGUACCAACAUCCCUGGUUUCCAUUUCAUGAUAUAAACACAGAAACUGUCAGAAAUUGCCUGACUUUUCCGCUCAAACUAGUUCCCCAGUAUAUCUGUGAAUAAUUUCUGAUGAGUUGUCUGUAUGAUUAUCAUUGUUUGGGUGCUCCAAUAUUUGCAUUUUGGCUUUGUAUUUGGAGAGAAAGAGGUGUUGGGGUACUGUGAUUAAUUACUUAAUUGAAGGAAUCAUAUCUGUAUAUACAGGCACCUUAAACGAGGGAAAACGCCAUUCUUUGCAGACAAAUCUGUACAUGGCGACACAACGCGCUUAUUGUGACCAUAGCAGACACUAAAGGACUUUUUCCUGGGCUAGAUACACAUCGGGGAUUACCUUUAUUAAAGAUCCCGGUUUUGCUAGACUCUUACCUGCUGAGCUUUCAUUGGCUCACACCGCACCUUUGGGCCUGGACGCCGCUGUUCACUAUCUCAACCAUAGUAUUCGGUUUUUGAUCCUUUAUAAUCAGGGUUGGACUGAUGCUCAGAUGCAACUCCACUUUCAUACUUUAUACUCAUGAGAUUUUGCAUAUGAGACCAUUCGAAUUGAGCUAAAAAGAACUGUGACCACACUGCUCCCUAUCUGUGACCCCUGAUGACGGCUAAACGCCAGAAAUGCGUCAGGUACUAGGGAAACACCUUUUUAGGAGAGUCUUGAUUGUCAUUGUCUUAUAUGUGCUGUUUUGUAUUGUAUAUUUGUCAUACACAUGCACACUUUUUUUUGUUUUUGAUGCAUGUUUUUUACGUUAGUACACAUUACAAUUUUUCAUUAAAACAUCUUUUACAUACAUCAUUUUUUGGCCUAUUAAAAUCGCACUCCAGGGAGUAACUUUUCUUGUUCAUUAUUUUAGGAAUGCGGUCAAUACAUUGAUUUCAUUGAGAUGGUGACCACCUCCUCUUUUUCCUGUAUAUGGAGAAAUGUCAGGGAUACUGGAAUGAAUGAGGGUUAUGUAUCUGAAGAGGGAGAGGUGUUCCAGGUACUGGAAUGAUUGAGGGAUUUGUAGUUGAAAAAGGAGAGGUCCUUCAGGUCAGGGAAUCGAGAAGGAAUUUGUAUUCUUGAAAAGGAAGAGGUGUCAUGGGUCUUGGAAUGAAUGAGGGAUUUGUUUCUAGAGAGGAAGAGGUCUCACAGGUACUGGAAUGAAUGAUGGAUCUGUAUCUGGAAAGUAAGAGGUGCCGCAAGUACUGGAAUGAAUGAAUGAAUGUAUUUGUAUCUGAAGAGGGAGAGGUCUCAUGGGUACUGGAAUGAAUGAUGGAUUUGUAUCGGACGUGGGAGAGGUCUCAUGGGUACUGGAAUGAAUGAUGGAUUUGUAUCUGAUGUGGGAGAGGUCUCAUGGGUACUGGAAUGAAUGAUGGAUUUGUAUCUGACGUUGGAGAGGUCUCAUGGGUACUGGAAUGAAUGAUGGAUUUGUAUCUGAUGUGGGAGAGGUCUCAUGGGUACUGGAAUGAAGGAAUGGAUUUGUAUCUGACGUGGGAGAGGUCUCAUGGGUACUAGAAUGAAGGAAUGGAUUUGUAUCUGACGUGUGAGAGGUCUCAUGGGUACUGGAAUGAAUGAUGGAUUUGUAUCUGAUGUGGGCGAGGUCUUAUGGGUACUGGAAUGAAUGAUGGAUUUGUAUCUGAUGUGGGAGAGGUCUCAUGGGUACUGGAAUGAAUGAUGGAUUUGUAUCUGACGUGGGAGAGGUCUCAUGGGUACUGGAAUGAAUGAUGGAUUUGUAUCUGACGUGGGAGAGGUCUCAUGGGUACUGGAAUGAAGGAAUGGAUUUGUAUCUGACGUGUGAGAGGUCUCGUGGGUACUGGAAUGAAGGAAUGGAUUUGUAUCUUAUGUGGGAGAGGUCUCAUGGGUACUGGAAUGAAUGAUGGAUUUGUAUCUGACGUGGGAGAGGUCUCAUGGGUACUGGAAUGAAUGAUGGAUUUGUAUCUGAUGUGGGAGAGGUCUCAUGGGUACUGGAAUGAAUGAUGGAUUUGUAUCUGACGUGGGAGAGGUGUCAUGGGUACUGGAAUGAAUGAUGGAUUUGUAUCUGACGUGGGAGAGGUCUCAUGGGUACUGGAAUGAAUGAUGGAUUUGUAUCUGACGUGGGAGAGGUCUCAUGGGUACUGGAAUGAAGGAAUGGAUUUGUAUCUGACGUGGGAGAGGUCUCAUGGGUACUGGAAUGAAUGAUGGAUUUGUAUCUGACGUGGGAGAGGUCUCAUGGGUACUGGAAUGAAUGAUGGAUUUGUAUCUGAUGUGGGAGAGGUCUCAUGGGUACUGGAAUGAAUGAUGGAUUUGUAUCUGAUGUGGGAGAGGUCUCAUGGGUACUGGAAUGAAUGAUGGAUUUGUAUCGGACGUGGGAGAGGUCUCAUAGGUACUGGAAUGAAUGAUGGAUUUGUAUCGGACGUGGGAGAGGUCUCAUGGGUACUGGAAUGAAUGAUGGAUUUGUAUCUGAUGUGGGCGAGGUCUCAUGGGUACUGGAAUGAAGGAAUGGAUUUGUAUCUGACGUGUGAGAGGUCUCGUGGGUACUGGAAUGAAGGAAUGGAUUUGUAUCUUAUGUGGGAGAGGUCUCAUGGGUACUGGAAUGAAUGAUGGAUUUGUAUCUGACGUGGGAGAGGUCUCAUGGGUACUGGAAUGAAUGAUGGAUUUGUAUCUGAUGUGGGAGAGGUCUCAUGGGUACUGGAAUGAAUGAUGGAUUUGUAUCUGACGUGGGAGAGGUCUCAUGGGUACUGGAAUGAAUGAUGGAUUUGUAUCUGACGUGGGAGAGGUCUCAUGGGUACUGGAAUGAAUGAUGGAUUUGUAUCUGAUGUGGGAGAGGUCUCAUGGGUACUGGAAUGAAGGAAUGGAUUUGUAUCUGACGUGGGAGAGGUCUCAUGGGUACUGGAAUGAAUGAUGGGUUUGUAUCUGACGUGGGAGAGGUCUCAUGGGUACUGGAAUGAAGGAAUGGAUUUGUAUCUGACGUGGGAGAGGUCUCAUGGGUACUAGAAUGAAGGAAUGGAUUUGUAUCUGACGUGGGAGAGGUCUCAUGGGUACUGGAAUGAAGGAAUGGAUUUGUAUCUGACGUGGGAGAGGUCUCAUGGGUACUGGGAUGAAUGAUGGAUUUGUAUCUGACGUGUGAGAGGUCUCAUGGGUACUGGAAUGAAGGAAUGGAUUUGUAUCUGACGUGGGAGAGGUCUCAUGGGUACUGGGAUGAAUGAUGGAUUUGUAUCUGACGUGGGAGAGGUCUCAUGGGUACUGGAAUGAAGGAAUGGAUUUGUAUCUGACGUGGGAGAGGUCUCAUGGGUACUGGAAUGAAGGAAUGGAUUUGUAUCUGACGUGGGAGAGGUCUCAUGGGUACUGGAAUGAAUGAUGGAUUUGUAUCUGAUGUGGGAGAGGUCUCAUGGGUACUGGAAUGAAUGAUGGAUUUGUAUCUGAUGUGGGAGAGGUCUCAUGGGUACUGGAAUGAAUGAUGGAUUUGUAUCUGACGUGGGAGAGGUCUCAUGGGUACUGGAAUGAAUGAUGGAUUUGUAUCUGAUGUGGGAGAGGUCUCAUGGGUACUGGAAUGAAUGAUGGAUUUGUAUCUGAUGUGGGAGAGGUCUCAUGGGUACUGGAAUGAAUGAUGGAUUUGUAUCGGACGUGGGAGAGGUCUCAUAGGUACUGGAAUGAAUGAUGGAUUUGUAUCGGACGUGGGAGAGGUCUCAUGGGUACUGGAAUGAAUGAUGGAUUUGUAUCUGAUGUGGGCGAGGUCUCAUGGGUACUGGAAUGAAGGAAUGGAUUUGUAUCUGACGUGUGAGAGGUCUCGUGGGUACUGGAAUGAAGGAAUGGAUUUGUAUCUUAUGUGGGAGAGGUCUCAUGGGUACUGGAAUGAAUGAUGGAUUUGUAUCUGACGUGGGAGAGGUCUCAUGGGUACUGGAAUGAAUGAUGGAUUUGUAUCUGAUGUGGGAGAGGUCUCAUGGGUACUGGAAUGAAUGAUGGAUUUGUAUCUGACGUGGGAGAGGUCUCAUGGGUACUGGAAUGAAUGAUGGAUUUGUAUCUGACGUGGGAGAGGUCUCAUGGGUACUGGAAUGAAUGAUGGAUUUGUAUCUGAUGUGGGAGAGGUCUCAUGGGUACUGGAAUGAAUGAUGGAUUUGUAUCUGAUGUGGGAGAGGUCUCAUGGGUACUGGAAUGAAUGAUGGAUUUGUAUCGGACGUGGGAGAGGUCUCAUGGGUACUGGAAUGAAUGAUGGAUUUGUAUCGGACGUGGGAGAGGUCUCAUGGGUACUGGAAUGAAUGAUGGAUUUGUAUCUGAUGUGGGCGAGGUCUCAUGGGUACUGGAAUGAAUGAUGGAUUUGUAUCUGAUGUGGGAGAGGUCUCAUGGGUACUGGAAUGAAUGAUGGAUUUGUAUCUGACGUGGGAGAGGUCUCAUGGGUACUGGAAUGAAGGAAUGGAUUUGUAUCUGACGUGGGAGAGGUCUCAUGGGUACUGGAAUGAAUGAUGGGUUUGUAUCUGACGUGGGAGAGGUCUCAUGGGUACUGGAAUGAAGGAAUGGAUUUGUAUCUGACGUGGGAGAGGUCUCAUGGGUACUAGAAUGAAGGAAUGGAUUUGUAUCUGACGUGGGAGAGGUCUCAUGGGUACUGGAAUGAAGGAAUGGAUUUGUAUCUGACGUGGGAGAGGUCUCAUGGGUACUGG